GCCGACGUGGUGGAAUUUGGUAGACACGCUGUCUUGAGGGGGCAGUGGCGAAUAGCCGUGCCGGUUCGAUUCCGGCCGUCGGCACCA
rnacentral:tRNA from 2 species